AUGCCGAUACCAUGGACCCAUCUCCAGGCUCAUUACGCUGCUGCCGGACCUGCUGCCGAGACUCCAUCUCCUUCGAGUUGCGUCCCUACCGAAGCCAGCCGUCCCCGUGCCUUGAGAAACCGGAGACCGAAUUCUUCGACAUGGAGGGAUUCCUUGAGAGCACAUCAACACCUGAAGCUGCUGCUGUCGCAGCUCUACACUUUUUCUUCUUUCCGGACACCCGACAGCCCAAGCAUACAAGAGCAGCAACACGAGCAGGCCUUGCUGUGCAACAUCAGCAGAGCGCUCUCAGUGCAGCGGAACUACUCGGGCGUCUCCGACGACAACAUACUUGAUACUGAAGUUGAAGAGUGUAGCACGAUCAAAGAUGCCAAGAAGACAACUAAUGUGCCAGGAGGUGAAGACUCACAGAGCUGCCAUGUUAGCUUAUUAACUUGCCACUAG
rnacentral:rRNA from 1 species